rnacentral:rRNA from 1 species
AUUGAACGCUGGCGGCAGGCUUAACACAUGCAAGUCGAACGAGUGGCGGACGGGUGAGUAAUGCUUGGGAAUCUAGCUUAUGGAGGGGGAUAACUACGGGAAACUGUAGCUAAUACCGCGUACCAUAGGAUGAGCCCAAGUUGGAUUAGGUAGUUGGUGAGGUAAAGGCUCACAAAGCAGACGAUCUCUAGCUGGUCUGAGGGUAUGACCAGCCACAUGGGGACUGAGACACGGCCCAGACUACAACGGGAGGAAGCAGUGGGGAAUAUUGCGCAAGGGGGGCAGCCUGACGCAGCCAUGCCGCUUGAAUGAAGAAGGCGUUCGGGUUGUAAAGUUCUUUCGGUAGCGAGGCGUUAACUAAAGAAGAAGCAACGGCUAACUCCGUGCCAGCAGCCGCGGUAAUUC